rnacentral:lncRNA from 1 species
AAACAACUGUCUGAAGCAUUCAGAUUGCCUAUGCUCUGAUUAGACAAUGCAUAGCUACAAAAAGGAACACUGGUAAGGAAAAUGUGAAAACCCUUUGCUGAUGCAAACCUACACAAGUUCAGCAUGACUAAAAUUAGAAAGAAAAAGGAGGAAAUCCGGACUUCAUUAAAAUCAGUGGAUGUUUCUGAGCAGAAUUUCCAUUAAUUAAUUUCAGUGGGGCCAGGAUUUCAUCCCAAAGAAGAAUGUGCUCCUACGCAAGACUGCAUCAAAAAGAAGAUAUUUCUUUCCGAGUCCCUGCGUGAGCCACAGACCCAGAUACCUUGCUGGAUGCAGAAGUUAUUGGCGCAUGAAGUAGACCAAGGGACUAAUGAUGAUGAAAGGAGAAGCAGAUCUGCCCUCUUGUGUACAAGGUAUCUACUGCAUCUAUUCCUAAAAAUCUGAAAUGAUUACACUCCCUGUAACAAUAAAUGACAAUAUUAUACAAAUGUUUAGAAUGCA